UCCUCUUCUUCCCCGGCGAGAGAAGGUUACAUCUUCCCGUGUCUCGUUUUCGCGCGCCUGUAUCUCAUUACAUCGCGCGCGCACAUCGUCACGUCACUCGCUCUCUCACGUACGUGUAAAGUUUGUUUGGUGCGCAGAAGUUACAUCGUCCCUGCGCGGGGUAAGGGGUGAAAUAUAGAGAAAGAGAGAGACGAACGCAAGGAAGAGAAAGAGAAGGAGCUAGAAGAGAAAUUCAGGUAACAAACGCACCGAGAUGGCACGCCGAUAAACAAGGUGGUCUCUUCGUCCACGGAGAGAAAGAGACGUCGUCGGCAAACGUCACUUGCGAUUUAUCGCGUUUUCCCGUUACCGAUAAUACCGAUAUCGAAACGCACUCCUCGUUCCCUCACGAUCGAGACUCCGCAACUCAAUUGACGCGUUGCGCCGCGGGCGCGCGUUCAUCAGUCACAGUUCUCACACUCGCACACACACAUACACACACCACAUAGAACGUGCACAUGCAGAACGUGGUGGAAGAGACACGCUUUGCACCGAUUACCUGCGAUCACCGGUUGUAAACACAAAAAUUUCGAGUGGAAUCCCCUUCUCGAGUUUGAGAAACGGGAAUCAAAAGUGAGGUAAAAUUUACGGAGGGUUAGAAAACGGGUUUCAGACGGUCUCGAGUAGGUGUAUCCACAUCAAGUCAAAGGAAAAAGAAGUCCCGAGAACGAGAUAAUUUUCAAAAGUUCAUUGACAUCCGCUAUACAAAAGAAUGGAGUCCCGAAUGUCAGCGUUUCUUUACAAUGGAUACGUCAAGAAGAUGUAUAAUUUGUGAAGAAAAAAAAAAGAAGAAAAGACUUCAGGAGUGAGCGAAGACGUAAGUAAACACGCGAGUAGGCGAGGUAUUGUAUUCGUCGUUCUCCGAAAUAUAUUCUAAAACUCAUAUCAGAGGGUAGCAAUGUAAUUUUUUUUUCUCUUCGGAAAGAUGAAAAUUUUCAUUUUUAUUGAACUUAGGGCCGGUUUCACCAUCUCCGAUUACUUCAACGAACCGGUUAUUCAAAUGAAAUUGACCAACCGUAUUUGUCGUUAAGCAAAAUUAAAAAAUGUGAUUGGUCAAUUCUGAUGAAAUAAUCGGUCCGGUUAAGAUAACCGGAGAUGGUGAAACCGGCCCUUAGAAGUUUUUUUAUUUUGUGUUACCGUCCUAGAGAAAAAGUUUCAUAAUCUCUACUCAGACUACGCAUUCAAGAUUGAAGAUUACAAAUUAAAUACUUAGUUUACACCGAGCACUUUGAUACGCAUACUAUAAAGUACUGUAUCCGUAUCAAAUCACUUGAUACGCACGGUAUAAAUGAUUAAACGAUUUGAUACGGACAUUACAGAAUCGUUCGAAUUCGAAUCGAAGCGAAUAAUGCGAAUUCGUUUUCAAAUCAAAACGAUUCGAAUUCGAAUAAUUCGACAAUUUUGAAUUGUAGUAGAUUAUUUUGAAUCGAAUGCGUCUUUCUUAAUUCAUGUUUUAGUUUUAAGCAAAUUUUAUUUACUUAAUAUUUUAUUUAAUAUAUAACAAUAUUAGUACAUUUUAUUCAAUAUUUGAAAUUUU
rnacentral:lncRNA from 1 species